GCUUACGGACAUACCAGCCUGGCUAUGCCUGAUCUCGUCUGAUCUCGGAAGCUAAGCAGGUUUGGGCCUGGUUAGUACUUGGAUGGGAAGACGCCUGGGAAUACCAGGUACUGUAAGCU
rnacentral:rRNA from 1 species